rnacentral:rRNA from 1 species
GACGAACGCUGGCGGCGUGCUUAACACAUGCAAGUCGAACGGAAAGGCCCUGCUUUUGUGGGGUGCUCGAGUGGCGAACGGGUGAGUAACACGUGAGUAACCUGCCCUUGACUGUAGGAUAACUUCAGGAAACUGGGGAUAAUACCGGAUAGGAGCUCCUGCUGCAUGGUGGGGGUUGGAAAGUUUCGGCGGUUGGGGAUGGACUCGCGGCUUAUCAGCUUGUGGGUGGGGUAGUGGCUUACCAAGGCUUUGACGGGUAGCCGGCCUGAGAGGGUGACCGGCCACAUUGGGACUGAGAUACGGACCAGACUCCUACGGGAGGCAGCAGUGGGGAAUAUUGCACAAUGGGCGGAAGCCUGAUGCAGCAACGCCGCGUGCGGGAUGACGGCCUUCGGGUUGUAAACCGCUUUCGCCUGUGACGAAGCGUGAGUGACGGUAAUGGGUAAAGAAGCACCGGCUAACUACGUG